CUGUUAUUCCCUGGAGACAGGACUUCAUCCAUGUAAGAACCACAUGGAUGAGACUGCAAAGAAAGGAUAUUUUGCUGCAGCAGAAACACUUCUAAUUGGAAGCAGAAGUGGGGUCCUCUGGAUCUCUUUCUGUUCUAUUUGGCCGUCCAGUUGAACAGCACAGGGUGCUGAAGGCAUCUCAGGAGCAUGGGCACAGAAGGAGAAAGACAACCUGAAUGUGGGCCACGCCCUUCCAAGAUAAGAAGCACUGGUGGGCCUAUUGAUAUACCUCAGCUGCAGUAUGAGCUGGAUUAGAGGCAAAAGCAUUUGGGAGAGGGGUUUGAUACCACCAAAGAGGUGGAAGGAGUGUGGGCAGGAAGUACCCCACUGCCUCUUCACCUUGUUCCACACCACUCUGGCAGUGGAAACCAGAUGGGCUCUCCAGGCCUGCAGUUUCGUCAGUCUGUGGAGUGAGGAGAAAACUCUUUGGCCAUCCCCAAGACUUUGCUUCCCGCUGCGAAGAUCUACUUAUUUUAUCAGCAUAAAACCCGUGCUGGAUGAAUGGCUGGAUACGUGUGAAAAAUACAUGUCUGGAAUCUGGUCUGAACUGUAGAAACAUGUUGAAAUGAUCCCAGGGAAUAAGAUUCUUGAGUUACCCGUUUACAGCCCGCACACAUUUCAUAUCUGACAGUAGGAAAAAGCAAUGUAAAAAUACCCUUAAGAAUGUGAAUCUCUGCUCUGAUUUGCACUUAAAAGGCAACAUCUGAUUAAUGUCUGUGUUUUAUUAGCAGAAGACUGAGACGAUGAAAGCGUCUCAGAUAUUACCUCUAUUGUAUCAGAUACUUUUGAUAGCAUACUGUGGAAGAAAAUGUCACAUUUCAUUAAAAAGGAUCACCAUACCACAAAGGAUUUGGCAGCGGUUUGUAAACCUAGUGGUGAUUUUCAGUGUUACCCAUUUUUCAGUCUCUGAAGAUUAUUUAAACAAAUGCUUCUGCUGACCUCCGACUGGAUCUGCCGGUGCUCACCGGUCUGUGCGUGGCUGCAUGCUGUUGUGCACCAGCUGUGGAGCUGCCUUCGCUAUAAGCAGCACGGCUGCUGUGUCAGCAGUUAACACAGCUCAAUUUUAAUAGACUUGGUUACACAGCAUAUUCUCAGACCUUCCAGCUGUGCCUAGUGAAAAUGCACACUGACACUCAUUCCAGUCUCAAUGUACCCCUUUGUGCCAGUGUUAACUUAUUAUUUUUUUAUUACCCUGCGUACAAGCAGUCUCAGUGCUCCAGAUAGCUGAAAUGUCAUACAUGUUGAGGAUAAUCUCCCAUCACUGCAAGGUUUCUCCUCUAUUAGUUGUCUCUGUGUGCUUCAUUUAAUCUGCUUGCUACCUGUUAGAAAGGCUGCCAAAGCAUUUGGUUCUUGAAGAGCUGAGUACUUCAUUUUAUCUGACGUAACUGCAUCAGCUCAGCAACAAUUUACAAAGAAUAACUUGUUUGGCAGUCUUAGGCUUUUUUUUUUCAUGGAUUGUCUUUGAACAAAUUGUAAUUGUCUUGGAUUUAUUAAUUAUUCAAAAUGUUAAAGACUUUGAGGAUUUGAUUAUGAGCAAUUUUAUGUGAGUGUUUGGUAUUCAGUACUCAGCUUCUAAGGCCAUUACUUUGUAGUGUAGACAGAUGAAGGCACAUCUUGUCUUCUCCUCUCUGUUGACAGAAGAUGCUGAAAAAUGUCAUGAGAAUUUUGCUCAGAGGGUAAGAGCUUAGGAAGAGACAAGAGGAAAGAUCCAAAUUUUCCCCCAAAACUACAGGUUGGGUAAAUAGUUUUCUAAAUGUAAUUUCUGAAGUAAAGAUCAUUGCCAAAUUUAUUUUGCGUACAUAAGGAAUGUUUGUUUCUCAUGUUAACUCCCACAUAGGGGAAUUGGGUGUGUGCCCAUGAGAGCCCCACAGCUCAGGUCAUGGCUGCCUUGUGCUUGGGUGAAGAGUAUGUUUCUUCACAACAAAUACUCUGAAAGUGCAGUUGUCAUCAGUCUAUCAGUCUGCAAAUUUCUCUCAGGAUUACUGUGAAGGUAACAGGAUGCAGUUUCCAGUUCUGGAGAGCGCUGCCAGAUGAUUGUGCAGUUUGCUGCUCUCUGAACAUUUGCUUUCUAAUUCUACUGAAGCACAAAAGGUUUUAAUUUACAGUUAAUGAGCUUUUUGUGGGAUAACAACCUGAGCUCUUGAACAGCAAGUGGCUUAAAUACAUUUGAAUACUUGAUUAGGCAAUAUUUUGUAAUGAGUCCUUUGAUCUGCUCUUGCCUACUUUUACUGCAAUGAGGAGGAGAGAAAGGGAAGGCUGUUGCUGUGAGGUAGAGGUACAAAUUGCUUCUGUCACUUGUGUAGGUAUAGAUCUGAAUGAUGAGCAGGACAAUGCUGAAAACUCAUAUUUUAGUUACUAUAUUUAUUUGCUAUAUAUUUAAUUGCCAUACACAAUCUGGGAAAUGGGUGUGUGACUGGCUGCUGCUGGCUGGAGUUUCCUCCCAUCUCUAAGCUCUAUACCUCCUCAGCGUAAUUUUUCACUGCAUUGAUGAACAUAUCUACUUCUGGAGUUCUCUGAAAAGCAGACUGUUACCUGGACCUCAGAGUCACACGCUGUGCUGAGACCCUCUGUAGUUGUUUAGGUGAAUAAAGAGCACUUUCAUUCCUUCAUAUGGCUCUACACAAGCCAAGGCAAAUGAAGGGUGCAAACACUACUGAGAACUGCCAGAUCAGCACAGGAGUGGAUCACGGCACAGUCUGUCUGAACACUUGAGAGGACCCAUCUGCAGUUCUUUCCCGGUCAUGUUCAAGAUGUUUUUUCAGUGAAUGUCCAGUUGUUGCCUUAUUUCUUUUCCCACAACCUUCCACCAUCUGGCUUGUGUUUAAAAGACGCAGUUUAGUUCAACACAUUAAAUUUCAGCAAUGUGGGCUGCAGCCAGCUCCUGCUCACCAGAAACUGGUAGCAUAUUGUGUGUCAGCACUCAGAAAGAAAAGAGUUAGCCAGUUAGAAAGUGAGCAGAAAAGCAAAAGCUGUAUACCUUAAGGUUCCCACAAGCAACACAAAUUAAUCUAUUUUAAACUCCUUACAUCAUUUAAGCUUCUUGGAGCAGAGAUUUGUCUUUAAGUCCCUGUAAAAUAUCAUGUUAUAUCCGUUCUGCUCUAUAAAAUGAGUAAAACCCAUAAGACUCAGCAGACAUGCUCGAAAUGUAUGGAGCACCUGCAUUUUAUCUGUGCAGAGACAUCACCAAGCCAGUCUCGAUGAUAUUUGAAAAAUCAUGGCAGUCAGAUGCAGUCCCUGGUGACAGGAAAAAAGGCAACAUAGCACUCAUUUUUAAGAAGGGUAGUAAGGAUGACCCAGGGAACUGCUGACCUGUCAGCCUCACCUCCGUGCC
ensembl:lncRNA